GACAGAGGAUGCAAGCGUUAUCCGGAAUGAUUGGGCGUAAAGCGUCUGUAGGUGGCUUUUUAAGUCCGCCGUCAAAUCCCAGGGCUCAACCCUGGACAGGCGGUGGAAACUACCAAGCUGGAGUACGGUAGGGGGCAGAGGGAAUUCUCGGUGUAGUGGUGAAAUACGUAGAUAUCGAGAAGAACACCAAUAGCGAAAGCACUCUGCUGGGCCGAAACUGACAUUGAGAGACGAAAAGCUAGGGGAGCGAAAGGG
rnacentral:rRNA from 1 species